GAUGAACGCUGGCGGCGUGCCUAAUACAUGCAAGUCGAGCGAACAGACGAGGAGCUUGCUCCUCUGACGUUAGCGGCGGACGGGUGAGUAACACGUGGAUAACCUACCUAUAAGACUGGGAUAACUUCGGGAAACCGGAGCUAAUACCGGAUAAUAUAUUGAACCGCAUGGUUCAAUAGUGAAAGACGGUUUUGCUGUCACUUAUAGAUGGAUCCGCGUCGCAUUAGCUAGUUGGUAAGGUAACGGCUUACCAAGGCAACGAUGCGUAGCCGACCUGAGAGGGUGAUCGGCCACACUGGAACUGAGACACGGUCCAGACUCCUACGGGAGGCAGCAGUAGGGAAUCUUCCGCAAUGGGCGAAAGCCUGACGGAGCAACGCCGCGUGAGUGAUGAAGGUCUUCGGAUCGUAAAACUCUGUUAUUAGGGAAGAACAAAUGUGUAAGUAACUAUGCACGUCUUGACGGUACCUAAUCAGAAAGCCACGGCUAACUACGUG
rnacentral:rRNA from 1 species